rnacentral:rRNA from 1 species
AGAGUUUGAUCAUGGCUCAGAUUGAACGCUGGCGGCAGGCCUAACACAUGCAAGUCGAACGGUAACAGGAAGCAGCUUGCUGCUUUGCUGACGAGUGGCGGACGGGUGAGUAAUGUCUGGGAAACUGCCUGAUGGAGGGGGAUAACUACUGGAAACGGUAGCUAAUACCGCAUAACGUCGCAAGACCAAAGAGGGGGACCUUAGGGCCUCUUGCCAUCGGAUGUGCCCAGAUGGGAUUAGCUAGUAGGUGGGGUAACGGCUCACCUAGGCGACGAUCCCUAGCUGGUCUGAGAGGAUGACCAGCCACACUGGAACUGAGACACGGUCCAGACUCCUACGGGAGGCAGCAGUGGGGAAUAUUGCACAAUGGGCGCAAGCCUGAUGCAGCCAUGCCGCGUGUAUGAAGAAGGCCUUCGGGUUGUAAAGUACUUUCAGCGGGGAGGAAGGGAGUAAAGUUAAUACCUUUGCUCAUUGACGUUACCCGCAGAAGAAGCACCGGCUAACUCCGUGCCAGCAGCCGCGGUAAUACGGAGGGUGCAAGCGUUAAUCGGAAUUACUGGGCGUAAAGCGCACGCAGGCGGUUUGUUAAGUCAGAUGUGAAAUCCCCGGGCUCAACCUGGGAACUGCAUCUGAUACUGGCAAGCUUGAGUCUCGUAGAGGGGGGUAGAAUUCCAGGUGUAGCGGUGAAAUGCGUAGAGAUCUGGAGGAAUACCGGUGGCGAAGGCGGCCCCCUGGACGAAGACUGACGCUCAGGUGCGAAAGCGUGGGGAGCAAACAGGAUUAGAUACCCUGGUAGUCCACGCCGUAAACGAUGUCGACUUGGAGGUUGUGCCCUUGAGGCGUGGCUUCCGGAGCUAACGCGUUAAGUCGACCGCCUGGGGAGUACGGCCGCAAGGUUAAAACUCAAAUGAAUUGACGGGGGCCCGCACAAGCGGUGGAGCAUGUGGUUUAAUUCGAUGCAACGCGAAGAACCUUACCUGGUCUUGACAUCCACGGAAGUUUUCAGAGAUGAGAAUGUGCCUUCGGGAACCGUGAGACAGGUGCUGCAUGGCUGUCGUCAGCUCGUGUUGUGAAAUGUUGGGUUAAGUCCCGCAACGAGCGCAACCCUUAUCCUUUGUUGCCAGCGGUCCGGCCGGGAACUCAAAGGAGACUGCCAGUGAUAAACUGGAGGAAGGUGGGGAUGACGUCAAGUCAUCAUGGCCCUUACGACCAGGGCUACACACGUGCUACAAUGGCGCAUACAAAGAGAAGCGACCUCGCGAGAGCAAGCGGACCUCAUAAAGUGCGUCGUAGUCCGGAUUGGAGUCUGCAACUCGACUCCAUGAAGUCGGAAUCGCUAGUAAUCGUGGAUCAGAAUGCCACGGUGACUACGUUCCCGGGCCUUGUACACACCGCCCGUCACACCAUGGGAGUGGGUUGCAAAAGAAGUAGGUAGCUUAACCUUCGGGAGGGCGCUUACCACUUUGUGAUUCAUGACUGGGGUGAAGUCGUAACAAGGU